UACGGCCAUAUCACGUUGAAACACCGGUUCUCGUACGAUCACUGAAGUUAAGCAACGUCUAGCCUGGUCAGUAUCUAAAUGUGUGACCACUUAAGAAUACCAGGUACUGUAA